rnacentral:rRNA from 1 species
UUCGAUUCCGGAGAGGGAGCCUGAGAAACGGCUACCACAUCUAAGGAAGGCAGCAGGCGCGCAAAUUACCCAAUCCCGGCUCGGGGAGGUAGUGACAAAAAAUAACAAUACGGGACUCUUAUGAGGCUUCGUAAUUGGAAUGAGUACAUUCUAAAUCCUUUAACGAGGAACUAUUGGAGGGCAAGUCUGGUGCCAGCAGCCGCGGUAAUUCCAGCUCCAAUAGCGUAUAUUAAAGUUGUUGCGUCUAAAAAGCUCGUAGUUUGAAAACUUGCCUUGGCUUACAACAGACGUCUAAGGGCGUCACCGUUUGUCGAGAGCAAAUAUGGGUGACUGUUCUUGCCUUCUUCACUGAUUGGCUCGUAAAAGUCAUCGAAGAUCACUUUGAUUAAAUUAGGGUGCUCAAAGCAAGUGUGCUACUUGAAUAUGAAUGCAUGGAAUGAUGGAAUAUGUUGUUGUUCUAUUUGUUGGUUUUUUGAAUGACGAAAUGAUUGAAAGGAACUGUUGGGGGCAUUCGUAUUGUUGUGAGAGAGGUGAAAUUCUUAGACCAUAGCAAGACGAACUACUGCGAAAGCAUUUGCCAAGAAUGUUUUCAUUGAUCAAGAACGAAAGUUAGAGGUUCGAAGGCGAUCAGAUACCGCCCUAGUUCUAACCAUAAACUAUGCCGACUAGCAAUUUGCUUUGUAUUUUUAUGACUAAGUGAGAGGCCACGGGAAACCAAAGUAGGGUUAUGGGGGAAGUAUGGUUGCAAAGCUGAAACUUAAAGGAAUUGACGGAAGGGCACCACCAGGAGUGGAGCCUGCGGCUUAAUUUGACCCAACACGGGAAAACUUACCUGGUCCUGACACUAGAAGGAUUGACAGAUUGAUAGCUCUUUCUUGAUUUGGUGGAUGGUGGUGCAUGGCCGUUCUUAGUUGGUGGAGUGAUUUGUCUGGUUAAUUCCGAUAACGAACGAGACUCUAGCCUAUUAAAUAAUAUGCGGAAUCAAUUUCUCCCGCGUUAUUUCUUAAUGGGAUCAAGCGUGUUUAACGCUUUGAAACAGAGCAAUAACAGGUCUGUGAUGCCCUUAGAUGUUCGGGGCUGCACGCGCGCUACAUUGAAGAGCAAAGUGAGCCCUCUGGCUUUUAACAAAGCUAGAAAUCUUUUAAUGUUCUUCUUAAUGGGGAUAGGGGAUUGCAAUUGUGCCCCUUGAACGAGGAAUUCCCAGUAAGUGCUAGUCAUUAGCUAGUACUGAUUACGUCCCUGCCCUUUGUACACACCGCCCGUCGCUACUACCGAUUGAAUAGUUUAGUGAGAUCAUCUGAGUGUUUGUAUGUGCAUUCUGUGCUUGUAUGGUGUACGAAGAAGAUCAAACUUGAUUAUUUAGAGCAAGUAAAAGUCGUAACAAGGUU